rnacentral:rRNA from 1 species
AUUGAACGCUGGCGGCAGGCCUAACACAUGCAAGUCGAGCGAGCGGCGGACGGGUGAGUAAUGUCUGGGAAACUGCCUGAUGGAGGGGGAUAACUACUGGAAACGGUAGCUCAUACCGCAUACCAUCAGAUGUGCCCCGAUGGGAUUAGCUAGUAGGUGGGGUAACGGCUCACCAAGGCGACGAUCCCUAGCUGGUCUGAGAGGAGGACCAGCCACACUGGAACUGGGCCACGGUCCAGACUCCUACGGGAGGCAGCAGUGGGGAAUAUUGCACAAUGGGCGCAAGCCUGAUGCAGCCAUGCCGCGUGUAUGAAGAAGGCCUUCGGGUUGUAAAGUACUUUCAGCGGGGAGGCGUUACCCGCAGAAGAAGCACCGGCUAACUCCGUGCCAGCAGCCGCGGUAAUUC